UCGAGGGUAGUCUGACGGAGCAUACCGCGUGAGGGAAGACGGCCUAUGGGUUGUAAACCUCUUUUUUCAGGGAGGAAUCAAUGACGUGUACCUGAAGAAUAAGCAUCGGCUAACUCCGUGCCAGCAGCCGCGGUAAGACGGAGGAUGCAAGUGUUAUCCGGAAUCACUGGGCGUAAAGCGUCUGUAGGUGGUUGAACAAGUCAACUGUUAAAUCUUGAGGCUUAACUUCAAAAUCGCAGUCGAAACUGUUUGACUAGAGUAUAGUAGGGGUAAAGGGAAUUUCCAGUGGAGUGGUGAAAUGCGUAGAUAUUGGAAAGAACACCGAUGGCGAAGGCACUUUACUGGGCUAUUACUGACACUCAGAGACGAAAGCUAGGGUAGCAAAUGGGAUUAGAUACCCCCAGUAGUCAAGAUUAUAUACCCCCCGUAGUGGCAGUCACCGGAGUAAACCAGCCGGCAAAAACAACAGCGGGAACAGACCGGAUCAAAA
rnacentral:rRNA from 1 species